rnacentral:rRNA from 1 species
GACCUGCKGAGAGAUCAUUA